CUAUUAUUUUUGCAGGAGAACAAGUUUUUGAAGUUCCUCAGUUUUACGUGCAAUUCCUUAUCAUGGUAAAUUCUUGAAAAGGCAGCCAUGGAGAACUAACUGCUAUAGACUUCUGGUUGUUGUCUCAACCCCAAGAUCAGGUCCAGUGUAGGAAUUUAAUGGUGGAAACUGGAGAGGCUGUGUUUUGCAUCUGAGAAUAAAUUUAGUAAUCCCUGGGAUUCAACUAGAUUGUGGAAGUUAAAUUUAUUCUUUUGUUGCAGGUUCUGUGUUUUUUCUGUCAUUGAAUUAGCAGUUUUGCUGGGCUAUUUUUGUGGAGCCAAUAUGAGUUCAACUGGUCCUUCCAUGGGUUCUGAUUAGUUUAUUUCCUCUUGCAUCAUUUUCCAUUACUUAAUAAAAGAAGCUUCUUGGUUUGUAUGUGCAGCUAUGCAAAAGUUAGGCAAAUUUAUAAGUGUAAUGCAUUCCAAAAUAAUUUAUGUGCAUAUAUAUACACAUGUGCUCACACUUCUCCUCCCUCAUUAAAUUCUACUUUAACAUCAUUUCAAGUGGUAAAAAAUGCUAGAAGCGCAUUUGAAUUUGGAAGGACCUAUGCAAAGGUAAACGCCAAGCUACUGUUGUAUGGCUACAUGGUUUAGGUGAUAAUGGAUCAAGGUAACAUUACUUUACCAUUGCUUUCUUCAUGUCUGAUAUAUUAGUGACUUGUGCUGCUUAUCAUUCAUAUCCUGUGCUCCUCUCUUUGAGUUUUAUCAAUGUUAGGUGAAUAGAGCGUAGUGGAUAAAGAACUAACACCUAAGUAGAAUGCCCCCUCCCCCUUUCCUCUCUCUCUCUCUCUCUCUCUCUCUCUCUCUUUCUCUCUCUCUCAAACUUUUGAUCUUUUGGACUUAGUCAAUGUUGGCAUCAGUUAUUUGAUUAAGACAUUAGGGAUGAUCUUUUGUUGAAUAAGAAAUAGGAAUUUUUACCUGCAUUAAAAGUCCAAACUGCGUCUUUUAUACUUGCUUUCAUGUAAUAUUCUAUUGCACUUUGGAAACUGAAUGAUCCACGUUGUUUUUGAUAUGAUAUUUAAAUGAUUCCUAUAUGUCCAUUUCUUAAUUCUUAUUCAGAAUAAUAACAUUUUAGGAUUCAAAUAAAGUCUGAUUUCAAGUGCCAAAAAUUUCAACCAAUCAUUGUUAUCCUUCCAUUUUAUUGCUGAUUGCAACAUUAAGGUUUAUGGAAACUGAUAUUGUGCUCAUGGUUGGCCCUCAGUCCUCCGUGGUAACCUUUAUUGAAAUUGAGCUUUGACUGCCUCUAUUAUCAUAUUCAGCUAUGGACCCAAUUCCUUCUUCACUUCAGUUCCCAUUCUUUGUUAGGACAUCUUAGAAUGGCACCAAAUAUAGCCACUUCUAGCUCUCUCAGCCACCUGCAACCUGCUUCAAAUGGACAUACUACAUUUUUUCAGUCAAUUGCCUUUUUUUGUGCUUAACAGUUCUGUUCAUCCUUUAUCUUUUAUGGGUUUCAAUACGUUCAAUUUUCUGGGCACAAAGCACCGGUAUAUAUAUAUAUAUAUAUAUAUAUAUAUAUAUAUAUAUAUAUAUAUGAGGGUUUGAGCCAAGGCUGACAUAUGGUCGUUUCUGGUUUUUGCCUGGAUUUAAUUAGUGUAGAUCUAAAUGCUCACAAUUAUACCUUCACUUCGUACUUCAUAUCUAUUGUUUAAUUUAUCUGUCUGUUAGAAUAUCGUUUAUCACUCAUGGCUUUUUGCUGUUGUACAUUGAUUAUUCGUUUAUUGCUAAAAUUUAAUCCAGUGUGUCCAAAGAAUGAAUUCUAGCACAUUCUCUAGAUUCUUUCGGUGUUUAAAUAUAAAAUUUCCCACCAAUUAGUUCCCCUUUUUAUUAUGAUAAGUAGGUGUUCACUUUUGCGUUUUUGUGUUUCUUCUAAGAGCAAGUUUAAGAAAGAGUGUGUUCAUCGGGCAAAGUCACCAUGAGAGUAUUUUGGACUCUGGUGUUGAUGAUUUUAAGUAAUGGAGUUGUUGUAAGCGGGGCUAAUAAAAGACCAGAAUUUGUAAA